CUGAGGCCCUGAGAGGUUAAACAUCUUGAUCAAGGUCAACAAGUCCUCUGCAUUUUGCCUUCUAGGGACAAGCUAAAGAGCCCUCACUCAUAACCAAAACCUAAACAAAAAAGAAAAAGAAUAAAAGAGAAGGAAAAAAUAAAGUGUUUCAGCAAAACUACUGGUUGUCAUAUUUAUGGAAGGACAACGACAGGCUGGAGUGUGUCCAGGAGGAGGACCAGGAUGUGACCAGGAUGAUGAAAAGACUGGAGACAAUGCUGUAUGCUGAGCAAUUGAAGGAAUGGAAGGCAUUUAAAAUAGAGAGAAGAAGGACUGAGGCUGGGGAUAUCCUUCCUCACCAUCUCCACCUGUUGAAAUCCAGCUCAAACGUCACCUCCUCCAGGAAGCUGUCCCUUAUCCUCCCAUUCAGAAGUGGCCUCUCCAUCAUCUGAUUUCAUAAACUCUGGACGGGGCCUUACUGAGAAGAAGAACUUAAUACUUGAGAAGGGGAGGAAGGAGGCAGAUGGGUAAUAAAGAAGGAUGGAAGAGAGAAGAAUACAGUGAAAGAAAAUUGGAAUAAGAUCAAAUUAAUUUAAAUGAACAGAGAAUGUAGGAAUUGGUACCAUGGAAAGAACCCCCAAUCUACUCAGAGGACCUGGGAUCUAAUCAUGAUUCUGCCACUUAUUACCCAUCUGUGUGACCCUGAGCAAAUCACUUAGCUCCCGUGGGCCUCGGUAUCUUUUAGUAUCCUCUAAAAUUAGUGGCUUGGUUCAACUAUUUUGGAGAGCAAUUUGGAACUAUGCCCAAAGGGCUAUAAAAAUGUGCAUACCCUUUGA